rnacentral:rRNA from 1 species
GUCCACGCCGUAAACGAUGGGUACUAGGCGUCGGGGGAGCGACCCCCUCGGGUGCCGUCGCUAACGCAGUAAGUACCCCGCCUGGGGAGUACGGUCGCAAGACUGAAACUCAAAGGAAUUGACGGGGGCCCGCACAAGCGGUGGAGCAUGUGGUUUAAUUCGAAGCAACGCGAAGAACCUUACCUGGGCUUGACAUGCACGGGAAAGCCGGUGGAAACAUCGGCCCCUCUUCGGAGCUCGUGCACAGGUGCUGCAUGGCUGUCGU